rnacentral:rRNA from 1 species
AGCGAACGCUGGCGGCAGGCCUAACACAUGCAAGUCGAACGAAGUCUUCGGACUUAGUGGCGGACGGGUGAGUAACACGUGGGAACGUGCCUUUAGGUUCGGAAUAACUCAGGGAAACUUGUGCUAAUACCGAAUGUGCCCUUCGGGGGAAAGAUUUAUCGCCUUUAGAGCGGCCCGCGUCUGAUUAGCUAGUUGGUGGGGUAAUGGCCUACCAAGGCGACGAUCUAUAGCUGGUCUUAGAGGAUGAUCAGCCACACUGGGACUGAGACACGGCCCAGACGCCUACGGGAGGCAGCAGUGGGGAAUAUUGGGCAAUGGGCGCAAGCCUGACCCAGCUAUGCCGCGUGAAUGAUUAAGGCCUUAGGGUUGUAAAGUUCUUUUAGGUGGGAAGAUGAUGACGGGACCACCAGAAAAAGCUCCGGCUAACUUCGUGCCAGCCGCCGCAGUAAUAC